rnacentral:rRNA from 1 species
UGGGGAAUUUUGGACAAUGGGCGAAAGCCUGAUCCAGCAAUGCCGCGUGUGUGAAGAAGGCCUUCGGGUUGUAAAGCACUUUUGUCCGGAAAGAAAUGGCUCUGGUUAAUACCUGGGGUCGAUGACGGUACCGGAAGAAUAAGGACCGGCUAACUACGUGCCAGCAGCCGCGGUAAUACGUAGGGUCCAAGCGUUAAUCGGAAUUACUGGGCGUAAAGCGUGCGCAGGCGGUUGUGCAAGACCGAUGUGAAAUCCCCGAGCUUAACUUGGGAUUUGCAUUGGUGACUGCACGGCUAGAGUGUGUCAGAGGGGGGUAGAAUUCCACGUGUAGCAGUGAAAUGCGUAGAGAUGUGGAGGAAUACCGAUGGCGAAGGCAGCCCCCUGGGAUAACACUGACGCUCAUGCACGAAAGCGUGGGGAGCAAACAGG